GAUUGUGCAAUCACGCAGCACACAGAUGACGUAGGACGUAAGACCCUUUGCUUUAGCUACUGAACUUCGCGUGUGCGGUCUUAUAGCUGGAGGAGUGGCUGGAAUCCUAACAAGCAGCACACAGAGCAGAAACCUGAGACGAUGGCACUGAGGGAGGAUAUUGAAGCUGAGGGGAGAAAGACUGAUCUGGAGAGGAGAAAAAGGCCCUCAGGGGACAGGUGCUAGGCUGUGGCAUAGCUCUGGGCCCACAGCCUGCAGUCCCCCUGCUGGACAGCAGUCUCAUCCUCCCUGGCUGCCUGCAACUUGCAGAUCAUGUGAGUUCUCAGCUGCCACUCCGGCACCAUGCCUGCCUGCCACCAAACUCCACACUGGAAUGGAUGAUCACAGACCCUGAAACCGUAAGCAAGCCCCAAUUAAAUGCUUUUCUUUUUAAAGUUGACUUGGUCAUGGUGUCUCUAGAACAAUGAACAGUGACUCAGACAGACCCUGUCCUAAGUUGUUUUUUUGGUUUUUGGUUUUUUAAUUUUGUUUUGUUUUUCCUGUUGCUUUAAUAAGUACUCUAACAAAAACAAUUUACAGGAGACAGUUUCUUCUGGUAUGCAGCCCCUGCGGGAUAUAGAUUACUGUGGCAGUGAGGGCCACAGCAGAAGCAUCCACACUCAGCAAACAGAAAGUGAGCAGGAAGUUGGGUGGGGCUAAAAAGCCUCAAGGCCCAUCCCCAGUGACCCACUUCCUGAAGUGAGGCUCCACCUUUUAAAGGUUCCACAACCUUCUCAAACAUCACCAACAGCUGGGGAUCAAGUGUCCAAACUGGUGUGCCCACGGGGGGACAUGUCACACUCAAGCUACAAUAAGCCCAGCCAGUUUCCUGAUCUGAGGAGAUGUGAAGACUACAGCCUUGAACACCAUGUCAUGCCUUCUCUAUCAUGAUGGACCACACCCUCUUAUGCUGUGAGCCAGAAUAAAGCCUACCUCACAGAGACAAGAAAAAUAACUAGAGGCUGGAAAGAUGGUUCAGAGGUUGAGAGCACUGGCUGUUCUUCCAGAGGUCCUGAGUUCAAUUCCUGGCACCCACAUGGUGGCUCACAACCAUCUGUAAUGAGAUCUGGUGCCCUCUUCUGGCAUGUAGGCAUACAUGUAGGCAGAACACUGUAUACAUAAUAAAUAAAUAAAUCUUUAAAAAAAAGAAAAGAAAAACAACUAUACAGGACCAAGGGAACAGAUUUCCUUUGAGGGCUCUGUCUUUACACAGACUAGGGAAACCCAGUGACACCCCCGCUUCCAGGGGCCUCCCUUCCCCACUGCCCUCACUCUGACGUUGCCACACAACCAAGCAGCAUGUUCUUACACAGCAUCUUCUGAGACCUCAGUAAACAGCCCAUCAGCUCUGUCCCCUGGGGAGCAUGGACUCAGACACCAUAUGUUGUUUCUGUCACUCCAUGUCAUUUCCCAAGUAAAGGUUGCUCCAAGGCCCCUCACCUCUGGGUCACAACCAGCUCUGUGACAGACUUUUCCAUCCACUGGCAUCUCCUGCAGGAAAAGGCCAUUUGACAGGUUGAAGCUCCGCCCACCCCCGCCCAACUCACACACCUGUCUUUCUCUGAUGUUGGUUUGUGCUUAUUUUAGGGUCCUGGGUAGGAGAGGGAAUAUAAGGCAAAGUUGGUAUUUAGGCGUAAGGAGCCGAUUGUCAUCUGGGGUGUGGUGUGGGGGUGUGUGUGUGUGUGUGUGUGUGUGUGUGUGUGUGUGUGUGUGGUAUGUGUGGAGGUCAAUAGGCAACUUCACAUCUUUCUCAGUUGCUCGCCACUUUAUUUUUUGAGGUAGUGUCUCAUCAAACUUCCGGCUCGCUCACAGGAUAAAUUGGCAAGUCAAUGAGCAUCAGGGAUCUGCCUGUCUCUGCCACCAUCACUGCCAGCCGAAUUCUGUGGUUACCGACAUGGGCCACUGGGCCCAGCUUUCACAUAGGUUCUGGGGAUCCAAACUCUUCAGGCUUCACAGCAUCUCCCCAACUUCAACACUUCCUUUUGAGAGAGGGAGAGAGCAUGGUUCCUGGCAGAGUUGUGGGAAAGUUGGACCAACAGAUUCUGAAAGGGGACAUUGGUCUGCCUAUGUCUCCUGCUAGGACACAGCUGUCCAUUUCCUCUGGCAUCUGAAUUCACCUGGUGCACCUGAGUUCCUAGAAAUAGAACUCCUGCUCCAACUGCUGCCUCUGUAACUAGCGAGGCCUGGGGCUUCUGCUCCUCAUCUCUGCUUGCACUGCCUUUCCCUGCCUCAGGACUGAAUGUGGAUUCUGUUACUGGCCACAACCCAAGCAAUGCCCCAGACUUAUGAGUUCUGCCCUCCUGGAGCAGGGAGUGUUGGCAGUUGGGUUGAUUUGCAUAUCUGCCUGCAAGGUCUCUGGGGCUGACAAAUCAGCUGCAGAAAGCAUCUCUCCUAGCCUAGCUCACACAGGCACUUGGCUCUAUCCACAGGAAAGCCAUCUCAGAGGAGGCUAGAAUCCCUGAUUCCGUGGGGUCAUGUCACACAUCAGUUCCCUGAAAAGAGGCAGGGAGGGUCAGGCCCCUGCCCUCCUGAGCAGUCACUAGGAUCCCACUGUUGCGGGGGGGGGG